AUGCCCGGGGGUGAAUUCUGCCCCAAGGCACCAAUUUUUACCAUCUUAUGUGCUGGUAUCAUCGCACAGCUGCUGAGAGGGCAGGAGAUCCUUACUAAACAUGCAUCCAAGGGAAAAAGCAUUCCUGUUCUUCAAGAUGAAUCACUGGCAUUGUGUUUUUGUGGACAAAGUGAUCGCCUGAGCUACUCUGCAACAGCUACAGCACCACAGGGCCAGCCUAGGUGGGGCUGUCACCAUGAACAAACCUACCUCUGCACAGAUUUGGGAAAGGCAGGAGCCUCCUUUUAUGCACAGACACCUGACAAAGCUGAGGAGAGCACCUGUCUCUGA
rnacentral:lncRNA from 1 species